rnacentral:rRNA from 1 species
CACGUAGGGUGCGAGCGUUGUCCGGAAUUAUUGGGCGUAAAGAGCUCGUAGGCGGUGUGUCGCGUCGGCCGUGAAAACCUGCAGCUUAACUGUGGGCUUGCGGUCGAUACGGGCAUCACUGGAGUUCGGCAGGGAGACUGGAAUUCCUGGUGUAGCGGUGAAAUGCGCAGAUAUCAGGAGGAACACCGGUGGCGAAGCGGUCUCUGGCCGAUACUGACGCUGAGGAGCGAAGCGUGGGAGCGAACAGG